CGCUCGGUCGCUACGUAGCGACCGAGCGGAACGGAUGCUCGGUCGCUACGUAGCGACCAAGCGGAACAGACGCUCGGUCACUACGUAGCGACCGGGCUACGUCACCACCACCAUCGCUUCUCAGAUCCGUCUUCACCGGAGUCGCCACCACCACCGCCACGCUCGUCAUAACCACCAUUGGUCACUUCUCUGUCUCUCAUUCUCUCUGUGUUUUUUUUUGUUAUUAUAUGGUUUGAUUUGAAGUUAAAGUUCGUUUCUUUAAUUAUGUGUGCUGCAGAAGUCCAAGAGGAAUGAGUAUGCCAAAACUAUCUCCCAACGUUUGCAACGUAUUGUUUUAGCUUGUCUGAUUUGUUUUCUAUCAUUCUGUAAUUUUCAUGUGUUUGUUCGCUACAUGCUCGUAAGAGACCAAGGUUCUGAUUUGAAAGAAUCAAUCUGCCUCGUACGUUGUGUUCUUGCCCUUCCUCUUCAAUCCUUCAGGUUUCGAGUGGCAGAAGAUUGUUGAUGAUUAGACUGAUCGGAACAGCUCACGAUUAUCUAGCAAUACGUACUUGUUUAUCAUCUCACGACUACAGAGAAGACUAAACUUUCUGACUGUUUUGGUCAGGUUGAUAAAGGAGCUAAUAUUCUUGAAAUUUAUCGCAAUCAUUGUGAUACUGAUCACACUUGCUCGCAUGACUGCUGCUACUUGCUCUUUUUGGUUUUUUGCUGGAUAAAUUGAAAGACUUGCGUUUAGCAUCUGAUCACUCUUCUUUGUGUGUGUUUCUGCAAGUAAAAAUGGUUAAGGGCUUUGUAUGUACUUUUCAUUCUGAUGGGGGUUAUUUGGGAUUUAAAGUUUUUGACAUUCUCAGAGUUUCCAUAAAUUUGCUGCAGGUAACAUUUUCCCUUUAUGAGUCUGUGCAAUAAGCUUGACGACAGAGGUGGAAAGGCGGCGAGGUGGAUGGGACGAGGUUGCUGUGAUGGAUGGGGCGGAGAGGCGUCGGAUCUGAAGAAGCUAUGUUGUGGAGAUGGCAGAGGAAGCUAGCGGUGGUAGUGGUGGCGGCACUAAAAGAUAAGAGCACUAGAAGAUAGGAGAUGAAUUUUAGGUUUAGUUAAAAAUUUGGUUUAGUUUAAUAACACAUUCAUAAAUAUGUAAACAAUUUCAAUAUAUAAAAUUUAAUUUAAUU